rnacentral:rRNA from 1 species
AUGCCGUCCUGGCCCAGUAGUAACGAGACCUUGAACGACGAUGACGAGCUCAUGAGCGAGAUCAGCAGCAUGCAAAUGGAGUAUUUCCUAACUCCUGACACAGUGAUAGACCCAAGCUUCUGUGAGCUUGUGACUGAAUCUGACAGAAGGUGCAUCCUGCACAGGCAGAGGGCAGGCAAGUUUGUGGCAUUUGAAGGCACUGACACUGGCAGGAGAUUCAUUGGAUGUGCUACUGAGGAUGGUGUGAACUGUGGUGUUCUGGAGUGGGUAGAUGCCCCCUGGCCUAUAAUUCUGCAAAGGUGCCUAACCAAGCUCUGGGAUAUGUAUCAUGAGCAGAACCUUGGUAGAGCCCAGGAAAAUGAGGCUCAUGGGACAGAGGUUGCAAAACUGUAG